GCAUCAUGGUAGUUGCUAUGUAAUGGUGGUCACAUGAUGCAUCCUACAGGAUAUGUAAGUGGCAGUGCAGUGACACUAGUUGUGGUCAAUAUAGUGAGACGUACGUUAUCCAGAAAAUGGAUUUAUACUUAAAAGCAGCCCUCAUUUGCUUGCGGUGUGGAUAACUUGAUCCAAAUCAUAAAAAAGAAUUCCGAAGUUGCACCAAAAAAAAAAAAA
rnacentral:misc_RNA from 1 species